CCUACGGGGCGCAGCAGUGGGGAAUAUUGCGCAAUGGGGGCAACCCUGACGCAGCAACGCCGCGUGCAGGAAGAAGGUCUUCGGAUUGUAAACUGUUGUCGCAGGGGAAGAAGACAGUGACGGUACCCUGUGAGAAAGUCACGGCUAACUACGUGCCAGCAGCCGCGGUAAUACGUAGGUGACAAGCGUUGUCCGGAUUUACUGGGUGUAAAGGGAGCGUAGGCGGGAAGCCAAGUCAGCUGUGAAAACUACGGGCUUAACCUGUAGACUGCAGUUGAAACUGGCUUUCUUGAGUGAAGUAGAGG
rnacentral:rRNA from 1 species